GCCGCUGGUGGCUGCGCCGGUCUUCAAUUCCGCCAGCGGACU
rnacentral:tRNA from 15 species